rnacentral:rRNA from 1 species
GGAGGCCACUGCUAUUGGGAUCCGACUAAGCCAUGCGAGUCGAGAGGGUUCGGCCCUCGGCAGACUGCUCAGUAACACGUGGAUAAUCUACCCUUAGGUGGAGGAUACUCUCGGGAAACUGAGAAUAAUACUCCAUAGGUCUAGGAUGCUGGAAUGCACCUAGGUUGAAAGUUCCGGCGCCUAAGGACGAGUCUGCGGACUAUCAGGUAGUAGUCAGGGUAAAGACCUGACUAGCCUACGACGGAUACGGGUUGUGAGAGCAAUAGCCCGGAGACGAUAUCUGAGACACGAUAUCGGGCCCCCGGGGCGCAGCAGGCGCGAAAUCUUCACAAUGUGCGAAAGCACGAUGAGGGGAUCCCAAGUGUUGGUUCGUAAGAGUCAUCUGUUUCUUUGUCUAAAAAACAGAGAGAGUAAGAGCUGGGUAAGACGGGUGCCAGCCGCCGCGGUAAUACCUGCAGCUCAAGUGGUGGCCGCUAUUAUUGGGCCUAAAACGUCCGUAGCCGGUUUAGUAAAUGCCUGGGUAAAUUGUGUAGCUCAACUAUACGAAUACCGGGUAGACUGCUAAACUUGAAACCGGGAGAGGCUAGAGGUACUCCUAGGGUAGAGGUGAAAUUCUGUAAUCCUAGGGGGACCACCAGUGGCGAAGGCGUCUAGCUAGAACGGGUUUGACGGUGAGGGACGAAGCCCUGGGGCGCAAACCGGAUUAGAUACCCGGGUAGUCCAGGGUGUAAACGCUGCUCGCUUGAUGUUAGUCGGGCUCCGAGCCCAACUAGUGUCGGAGAGAAGUUGUUAAGCGAGCUGCCUGGGAAGUACGGUCGCAAGACUGAAACUUAA